GACGAACGCUGGCGGCGUGCUUAACACAUGCAAGUCGAACGGAAAGGCCCUGCUUUUGUGGGGUGCUCGAGUGGCGAACGGGGGAGUAACACGUGAGUAACCUGCCCUUGACUUUGGGAUAACUUCAGGAAACUGGGGCUAAUACCGGAUAGGAGCUCCUGCUGCAUGGUGGGGGUUGGAAAGUUUCGGCGGUUGGGGAUGGACUCGCGGCUUAUCAGCUUGUUGGUGGGGUAGUGGCUUACCAAGGCUUUGACGGGUAGCCGGCCUGAGAGGGUGACCGGCCACCUUGGGACUGCGGUACGGCCCAGACUCCUACGGUAGGCAGCAGUGGGGAAUAUUGCACAAUGGGCGGGAGCCUGAUGCAACAACGCCGCGUGCGGGAUGACGGCCUUCGGGUUGUAAACCGCUUUCGCCUGUGACGAAGCGUUAGUGACGGUAAUGGGUAAAGAAGCACCGGCUAACUACGUG
rnacentral:rRNA from 1 species